GGUGGCGUGUCCGAGCGGCCGAAGGUACUCGCCUCGAAAGCGAGUGUUGUGUAAAAGCAACCGAGGGUUCAAAUCCCUCCGCCACCGCCA
rnacentral:tRNA from 5 species